UACGUAGGGUGCGAGCGUUAAUCGGAAUUACUGGGCGUAAAGCGUGCGCAGGCGGUCUGUUAAGACCGAUGUGAAAUCCCCGGGCUUAACCUGGGAACUGCGUUUGAAACUGGAAGGCUUGAGCGUGGCAGAGGGGGGUGGAAUUCCACGUGUAGCAGUGAAAUGCGUAGAGAUGUGGAGGAACACCGAUGGCGAAGGCAGCCCCCUGGGCUAACACUGACGCUCAUGCACGAAAGCGUGGGGAGCAAACAGG
rnacentral:rRNA from 1 species